rnacentral:sRNA from 1 species
CUCCACGCUGGGGGCAGACGUGACUAACAGAUCACAGCACCCUUUCCUACGGAGGCUGGAGGCAGCCUCCAACCCCUUUUCAACCCAGCCCUCUGGGCGCCAGCUCAGAUUUAGCACUGGGGAUGAAGCCUCUCUUCCAGCCCUGCAGCGGCCACCUGCGAACCCUCCAGGCCCUCUCCAUGGGGUACCGGGAGGAUCGUCUACCUUAUUGAAACCAUCUAAUUGGAGAUCUACAGAUUAGGCUACCAAGACACAGCUGCGUCUAGCAGAAUUUAUGUAGUGGACAAUUUUAGGUGCACUUUGGGGAGAGCAAGCAUGAGGCCUGCAGCUGACGGCUUUGAGUGGCUGAGAACAUGACUAUGGAAAAGGAUCAAAUAUCCCACAGCCCCCAGGAGCGACCACGUGAGGCUGCAUAAUGGCCAUCUCUGUGUCUGCAGUGAUGUCUG